CCGUGUCCUUUUCUCUUUCUACUUUCUCGUUUUCUCUUCGGCACGCGGAGGAUACGGCCUCGGCAUCGGUCGUUCCGGAGCAGAUGAAGAGAACUGGCGACGUGUUCGCGGGCCUUCACACGGCUGCUCCGAUCUGAAGAGCACA